rnacentral:rRNA from 1 species
UACGUAGGGUGCAAGCGUUGUCCGGAAUUAUUGGGCGAAAGAGCGUGUAGGCGGCUCGACAAGUCCGCUGUGAAAGUCCAGGGCUCAACCCUGGAAAGCCGGUGGAUACUGUCGAGCUAGAGUCCGGAAGGGGCGAGUGGAAAUUCCUGGUGUAGCGGUGAAAUGCGCAGAUAUCAGGAGGAACACCAAUGGCGAAGGCAGCUCGCUGGGACGUGACUGACGCUGAGACGCGAAAGCGUGGGGGAGCAAACAGG